rnacentral:rRNA from 1 species
UUGCUGGGUGGAUUAGUGGCGAACGGGUGAGUAACACGUGAGUAACCUGCCCCUGACUCUGGGAUAAGCGUUGGAAACGACGUCUAAUACUGGAUAUGAUCACUGGCCGCAUGGUCUGGUGGUGGAAAGAUUUUUUGGUUGGGGAUGGACUCGCGGCCUAUCAGCUUGUUGGUGAGGUAAUGGCUCACCAAGGCGACGACGGGUAGCCGGCCUGAGAGGGUGACCGGCCACACUGGGACUGAGACACGGCCCAGACUCCUACGGGAGGCAGCAGUGGGGAAUAUUGCACAAUGGGCGAAAGCCUGAUGCAGCAACGCCGCGUGAGGGAUGACGGCCUUCGGGUUGUAAACCUCUUUUAGUAGGGAAGAAGCGAAAGUGACGGUACCUGCAGAAAAAGCACCGGCUAACUACGUGCCAGCAGCCGCGGUAAUACGUAGGGUGCAAGCGUUGUCCGGAAUUAUUGGGCGUAAAGAGCUCGUAGGCGGUUUGUCGCGUCUGCUGUGAAAUCCCGAGGCUCAACCUCGGGCUUGCAGUGGGUACGGGCAGACUAGAGUGCGGUAGGGGAGAUUGGAAUUCCUGGUGUAGCGGUGGAAUGCGCAGAUAUCAGGAGGAACACCGAUGGCGAAGGCAGAUCUCUGGGCCGUAACUGACGCUGAGGAGCGAAAGCAUGGGGAGCGAACAGGAUUAGAUACCCUGGUAGUCCAUGCCGUAAACGUUGGGCGCUAGAUGUAGG